rnacentral:rRNA from 1 species
GGGUUGUGAGGUUAAGCGACUAAGCGUACACGGUGGAUGCCCUGGCAGUCAGAGGCGAUGAAGGGCGUGCUAAUCUGCGAUAAGCGCCGGUAAGGUGAUAUGAACCGUUAUAACCGGCGAUACCCGAAUGGGGAAACCCAGUGUGAUUCGUCACACUAUCAUUAACUGAAUCCAUAGGUUAAUGAGGCGAACCGGGGGAACUGAAACAUCUAAGUACCCCGAGGAAAAGAAAUCAACCGAGAUUCCCCCAGUAGCGGCGAGCGAACGGGGAGGAGCCCAGAGCCUGAAUCAGCAUGUGUGUUAGUGGAAGCGUCUGGAAAGGCGCGCGAUACAGGGUGACAGCCCCGUACACAAAAGCGCAUGUGCUGUGAGCUCGAUGAGUAGGGCGGGACACGUGGUAUCCUGUCUGAAUAUGGGGGGACCAUCCUCCAAGGCUAAAUACUCCUGACUGACCGAUAGUGAACCAGUACCGUGAGGGAAAGGCGAAAAGAACCCCGGCGAGGGGA